AAAAACAUGUCCUUUAGAGUUUAAUUUAAGGUCUGACCUGCCCACUGAGUUAAAUGGCCGCAGUAUUUUAACUGUGCAAAGGUAGCAUAAUCAUUAGUCUUUUAAUUGGAGGCUUGUAUGAAUGGUUGGACGAAAUAUUAACUGUUUCAUAGAAAUAUUUAGAAUUUUAUUUUUUAGUUAAAAAGCUAAAAUGUUUUUAAAAGACGAGAAGACCCUAUAGAUCUUUAUAAUUUUAUUAUUAUAGUUAUUUAGAUUAUUUAAAUUAUAUAUAUAUAAAUUAUUUUGUUGGGGUGACAUUAAAAUUUAUUUAACUUUUAAUAUAUUUUUACAUUGAUUUAUGAAUAAUUGAUCCAUUAUUAGUGAUUAUAAGUUUAAGUUACCUUAGGGAUAACAGCGUAAUCUUUUUGGAGAGUUCAUAUCGAUAAAAAGGAUUGCGACCUCGAUGUUGGAUUAAGAUAUAAUUUUGGGUGCAGCAAUUCAUUAAUUAAGUCUGUUCGACUUUUAAUUUCUUACAUGA
rnacentral:rRNA from 1 species